rnacentral:rRNA from 1 species
GGGCCCGCACAAGCGGUGGAGUAUGUGGUUUAAUUCGAUGCAACGCGAAGAACCUUACCAGGGUUUGACAUCCUGCGAAUCUCUUGGAAACUUGAGAGUGCCUUCGGGAGCGCAGUGACAGGUGGUGCAUGGCUGUCGUCAGCUCGUGUCGUGAGAUGUUGGGUUAAGUCCCGCAACGAGCGCAACCCACGUCUUUAGUUGCCAGCAUUUAGUUGGGCACUCUAGAGAGACCGCCGGUGAUAAACCGGAGGAAGGUGUGGAUGACGUCAAGUCAUCAUGCCCCUUACAUCCUGGGCUACACACGUGCUACAAUGGUUAAGACAAAGAGUUGCGAGCUCGCGAGAGUCAGCUAA